rnacentral:tRNA from 1 species
UGACCCAUGGUGUAAUGGCAGCACUUAUGGUUUUGGUCCAUACAGUCUAGGUUCGAGUCCUGGUGGGUCAG